rnacentral:lncRNA from 1 species
CUCACUGUGGUUAAAUACUUGCCUACAGCCAGACUAUACUGUGCACCCAGCCGUCACUCAUCCUACCAAUUAACUCCAUGAAAAAGGUUCUUAUCGAACUUCGAGAGUCUAUGAAGAAAAUUUGAAAAGUGAGGAAGGAAACUAGAUGGAUAAUUCCAUUACAAAAACAAUUUAUCCACAAACGCUUACAGACCGCCACAUGCAAGAGAAACUCAGAGGCUUAUGAUUCGUCCACCCUUGUCUGCCCCAGGGAUUCAGGAGGAGAUGAGGAAAGGACUGAGACAAGGACCCUGCCCUCAAAUUAUCCUUGGGCUUCUGAGGCAGCAAGACGUACAUCAGGGCAGGAAUCAAAGCAUCCAACCCUCGUUGUGGGAAGUUUCUUUUCACACGAACUCUGGUUUCAGAUCUAAUUGCCUGUCUCCUUGUGAUUCUUCAAUAGGUAUUCAGAUAUUUAAAAAAUAACAAUAGUAAAAUAACUGCUCAAGUAUGCAUGGGUAUCUAAAAUUAGCUAAUCUCAACAGCUAAUAUUAAAUCAUGGUGAAUUUCUCCUUAACUAGAUAGAGGUUUCUCUUGCCUAAUUAAGACUUUGGGAGUUCCCAUUGUGGCUCAGCGGUAACGAACCCAACUAGUAUCCAUGAGGAUGCAGGUUCAAUCCUUGGCCCCACUCAGUGGGUUAAGGAUCUGGCGUUGCAGUGAGCUGUGGUGUAGGCUGGCAGCUGCAGCUCUGAUUUGACCCCUAGCCUGGGGACCUACAUGUGCUUUGGGUGUGGCCCUGAAAAAAAAAAAGACUUUGUACUUGAAGAAGUUGUUGACCAGUGUUGGUUGUUGAGAAUGUUCAAACUCUGGGGAAUGACUUAGGUUACAGGGAUUUAAGCCCCACUCACCACCACCGCAUGUCUGUGUAGGAAAUGUGUUCUCUUUCAAAGAGAACAAAAUUCCCUUCAAAGGAGGGUUGAAGAAAGUUGGUUCCGAUGGGCUUUUGAACUACAUGUAUCUGUAUCAGGCUUUGGUAAUUACCACCCCCCAGGUCAUUUCCUAUUUAAGAAUCUCAGGGCUUCUGAAAAGCUCUUCCAGAACAUGCUAUUUUUCAAGAACUCAUUGGAGUGAAACGAUGUUUGUCACUCGCUGAGAGAGCAAACAGUGCUGGAGGAAGUCAGAACACAUCUUUGAGGACAUGGCAGUCGAAGGCAGAUGAAAGCCAUAGUUUUCCUUCCAAGUUCAAGCACGGCUGUGGGGCUGAACAGAGGCCAAUUGUCUCUGAACAAAAGACUGACCUCUCACUGCCCUGCCCCCUGCCUGGGCCCCUGCUGUUCCUUUGAGCCCCCAGGGAUGGGGUCACCCCCAGAAGAAGUGAGCAGAGGGUGGGCCUCAGGUCCCCCUGUCUUUCAGGGACACUUGUUCUACUGCAGGAUGCUGCCCAUGCCCCCUCUGGCCUCCCUGGAGCAGGCUGUUGGUGCAGCCCUCCUGGAGCCACCUGGACAGACCAUUAGUCCCAUCCUGGGACCUGGCAUCUCCAAGCCCAGCAUUACCUGGAGAGUCUCUUCGUGACAGCCUGGCCAGUCAGCAGGCCAAGGGGGGUGCAAAGAGCUGAGUCAAAGAGGCCCAGGCUACAGUCUUCCCAGCAUAGAUGGCCUGAACCCCAUGCAAGGUUUAAAUCAGAAGCAGGGCUCUCUGAAGUUGCUGGUGCAUCUUCCCUGUGAAGCUUUUCAGCAGAACCGUUCUGGGCCCCGCAAGGAAUGAGUGCAAAUGCGGAUCUCCAACAGCUGCAGUCACAGGCCCUCAGGACCCCCUGGGAGGGGCUGGGAUCGAGAAUAAACACAAGAGAGAGCCUCAAGCAGGGAGAGGGUGCCUUGGCCCCUCCCCCGCAGCUCUAGGUCCACAAAGCCCUGGGCUGGGGCAGGCGCCUGGCAGAGGGCAGGGAGCAGCCAGGGUGGAGGGUCUGGCCUGCAGGGUUGGAGAAAAGAGCCAGGAAAGGGUGUGGGUGAGGGUGGUCUCGGCGCGAGGCUCCUGGGAUCCCAGCUUCUACCUUUCUGGGAAAAGAGACACCCCACAUCAUGCUCAGCCUCACCCCAAGGCUUCACC